ACACUGUUGGUGAAGUGGUUAUCAUGCUUGCCUUCCAUCGCAGUUGAAAUGGUUGAAGCAAGCGGCUCGGGUUCGAUUCCCGAACAGUGUA